rnacentral:rRNA from 1 species
UAGCAUAGUCAUUUGUUUUUUAAUUGGAGACUGGAAUGAAAGGUUUAACAAGGAGGGUGUUCUUGGUCUAAGAGAUAGAAUUUGUAGUUUGAGUAAAAAUACUCAAAUGUUGUUAGGGGACGAUAAGACCCUAAAAGCUUUAUUUUAAGGUCAGUGGUUUUAUUUUUAGUCAUUAGCGGUAAAAAGUUAGCUGGGGUAGUUGUAUCGUAAAAACUGAGGUUUAAGAAAACAAGAAAUAAGUGGAGUGAGGUCCUUUGUAUAAGGAUAGUUGGUGCGAGUUACUUUAGGGGUAACAGCGUUAUAGUCCCGGAGAGUUCUUAUUUAUGGGGCUGAUUGCGACCUCGAUGUUGAAUUAAAUGUUCUCUGCGGAGCAGAAAUUGUGAGAGACGGUUUGUUCAACCGUUGAAUUUUUACAUGAUUU